ACACUCCUGCGGGAGGCAGCAGUGGGGAAUUUUGGACAAUGGGCGAAAGCCUGAUCCAGCAAUGCCGCGUGUGUGAAGAAGGCCUUCGGGUUGUAAAGCACUUUUGUCCGGAAAGAAAUCCUUGGCUCUAAUACAGUCGAGGGAUGACGGUACCGGAAGAAUAAGCACCGGCUAACUACGUGCCAGCAGCCGCGGUAAUACGUAGGGUGCGAGCGUUAAUCGGAAUUACUGGGCGUAAAGCGUGCGCAGGCGGUUUGCUAAGACCGAUGUGAAAUCCCCGGGCUCAACCUGGGAACUGCAUUGGUGACUGGCAGGCUAGAGUAUGGCAGAGGGGGGUAGAAUUCCACGUGUAGCAGUGAAAUGCGUAGAGAUGUGGAGGAAUACCGAUGGCGAAGGCAGCCCCCUGGGCCAAUACUGACGCUCAUGCACGAAAGCGUGGGGAGCAAACAGGAUUAGAAACCCCAGUAGUCCCAUG
rnacentral:rRNA from 1 species